GACAGAGGGUGCAAACGUUGUUCGGAAUUACUGGGCGUAAAGCGCGUGUAGGCGGCCCUGCAAGUCGGAUGUGAAAUCCCACGGCUCAACCGUGGAAGUGCAUUCGAAACUGCAGGGCUAGAGUCCUGGAGAGGAAGGUGGAAUGCUUGGUGUAGAGGUGAAAUUCGUAGAUAUCGGGAGGAACACCAGUGGCGAAGGCGGCGAUCUGGGAACAUACUGACGCUGAGGUGCGAAAGCGUGGGGAGCAAACAGG
rnacentral:rRNA from 1 species